rnacentral:rRNA from 1 species
AAGGUCCCUAAAUGUAAGUUAAGUGGUAAAGGAUGUGGGAUUGCACAGACAACCAGGAUGUUGGCUUAGAAGCAGCCACUCAUUCAAAGAGUGCGUAAUAGCUCACUGGUCGAGUGAUCCUGCGCCGAAGAUUUCCGGGGCUAAAACUUACUACCGAAGCUACGGCAUCAGUAAUGAUGGGUAGGGGAGCUUCCCAUACGGGUUGAAGCAUGACCGUAAGGACAUGUGGACAGUAUGGGAGUGAGAAUGUUGGCAUGAGUAGCGAGAUGUGGGUGGGAAUCCCACAGGCCGUAAACCCAAGGUUUCCAGGGGAAGGUUCGUCCGCCCUGGGUUAGUCGGGACCUAAGCUGAGGCCGAAAGGCGUAGGUGAUGGACAACAGGUUGAUAUUCCUGUACUACCGAUAACCGUUUGAGAGAAGGGAUGACACAGUAGGAUAAGCUAAGCACACUG